rnacentral:tRNA from 1 species
GGUCCUGUACCCAAGCGGUUUAAGGGGGUGGAUUGCAAAUCCAUUAUUCGUCAGUUCGAAUCUGACCGGGACCU